rnacentral:rRNA from 1 species
UACGUAGGGACCAAGCGUUGUCCGGAAUCAUUGGGCGUAAAGCGCGCGUAGGCGGCCCGGUAAGUCCGUUGUAAAAGUCGAAGGCUCAACCUUCGAAAGCCGAUGGAUACUGCCGGGCUAGAGUACGGAAGAGGCGAGUAGAAUUCCUGGUGUAGCGGUGGAAUGCGCAGAUAUCAGGAGGAAUACCCAUAGCGAAGGCAGCUCGCUGGGACGUUACUGACGCUGAGGCGCGAAAGCGUGGGGGAGCGAACAGG